AGAGUUUGAUCCUGGCUCAGGAUGAACGCUGGCGGCGUGCUUAACACAUGCAAGUCGAACGGUGAACCAGGAGCUUGCUCGGGAUCAGUGGCGAACGGGUGAGUAACACGUGAGCAACCUGCCCCUGACUCUGGGAUAAGCGCUGGAAACGGCGUCUAAUACUGGAUAUGACUGGAACCGCAUGGUUACUGGUUGGAAAGAUUUUUCGGUUGGGGAUGGGCUCGCGGCCUAUCAGCUUGUUGGUGAGGUAAUGGCUCACCAAGGCGUCGACGGGUAGCCGGCCUGAGAGGGUGACCGGCCACACUGGGACUGAGACACGGCCCAGACUCCUACGGGAGGCAGCAGUGGGGAAUAUUGCACAAUGGGCGGAAGCCUGAUGCAGCAACGCCGCGUGAGGGACGACGGCCUUCGGGUUGUAAACCUCUUUUAGCAGGGAAGAAGCGAGAGUGACGGUACCUGCAGAAAAAGCGCCGGCUAACUACGUGCCAGCAGCCGCGGUAAUACGUAGGGCGCAAGCGUUAUCCGGAAUUAUUGGGCGUAAAGAGCUCGUAGGCGGUUUGUCGCGUCUGCUGUGAAAUCCCGAGGCUCAACCUCGGGCCUGCAGUGGGUACGGGCAGACUAGAGUGCGGUAGGGGAGAUUGGAAUUCCUGGUGUAGCGGUGGAAUGCGCAGAUAUCAGGAGGAACACCGAUGGCGAAGGCAGAUCUCUGGGCCGUAACUGACGCUGAGGAGCGAAAGGGUGGGGAGCAAACAGGCUUAGAUACCCUGGUAGUCCACCCCGUAAACGUUGGGAACUAGUUGUGGGGUCCAUUCCACGGAUUCCGUGACGCAGCUAACGCAUUAAGUUCCCCGCCUGGGGAGUACGGCCGCAAGGCUAAAACUCAAAGGAAUUGACGGGGACCCGCACAAGCGGCGGAGCAUGCGGAUUAAUUCGAUGCAACGCGAAGAACCUUACCAAGGCUUGACAUAUACGAGAACGGGCCAGAAAUGGUCAACUCUUUGGACACUCGUAAACAGGUGGUGCAUGGUUGUCGUCAGCUCGUGUCGUGAGAUGUUGGGUUAAGUCCCGCAACGAGCGCAACCCUCGUUCUAUGUUGCCAGCACGUAAUGGUGGGAACUCAUGGGAUACUGCCGGGGUCAACUCGGAGGAAGGUGGGGAUGACGUCAAAUCAUCAUGCCCCUUAUGUCUUGGGCUUCACGCAUGCUACAAUGGCCGGUACAAAGGGCUGCAAUACCGUGAGGUGGAGCGAAUCCCAAAAAGCCGGUCCCAGUUCGGAUUGAGGUCUGCAACUCGACCUCAUGAAGUCGGAGUCGCUAGUAAUCGCAGAUCAGCAACGCUGCGGUGAAUACGUUCCCGGGUCUUGUACACACCGCCCGUCAAGUCAUGAAAGUCGGUAACACCUGAAGCCGGUGGCCUAACCCUUGUGGAGGGAGCCGUCGAAGGUGGGAUCGGUAAUUAGGACUAAGUCGUAACAAGGUAACC
rnacentral:rRNA from 1 species